rnacentral:lncRNA from 1 species
UUGUGAUGUGUUUGAAGAUCUUACUUUACAGGACAAUCUUGCUGCUUACAAUUAUUUCUAUCUAUAACGUAAUUGGCCCAGAAGUAACAAUAGCAAACAUUUUGUAAAUAUUAACAAAAAAUUACAAAAUUUAUGAAAAUUGUUUAAAAAUUUACAAUAAAUGACAAUAACUCCUUAAGGGGUCAAUUGGCCACUUUGAUCAUGUUGACAUAUUUG